rnacentral:rRNA from 1 species
UUUAUCGGAGAGUUUGAUCCUGGCUCAGGACGAACGCUGGCGGCGUGCCUAAUACAUGCAAGUCGAGCGGACAGAUGGGAGCUUGCUCCCUGAUGUUAGCGGCGGACGGGUGAGUAACACGUGGGUAACCUGCCUGUAAGGCUGGGAUAACUCCGGGAAACCGGGGCUAAUACCGGAUGGUUGUC